AAGCAAAUGAAUACUUCAAUUCAAGUCAUAAACUGAAUUGGUUUAAAGCAAAAACCAAAAUCAAUUUGAUCCAAGCCCAGUGUUAAAUACAUGCUUCUCUUUCCUUCAAAGACUUCCUUUCGAGCCUAUCUUCGCCUCUCUCUUUUUUUUCUGGAGAAACUGUUACUGCUAUCAAGCUGAGAAGCUUGGAGAAGUGGCAAAAGAGGCCAAGGAGAGGCUUGGGACACAGAGGGGAGAGGAUUCAUGUUAAAACAACCCUAACUUCUUUGAUUGGGAUCAAAAUAGAAUGUUUUGGACAAAACCAAUUUGGGAUCUUUCUGUUUUAAUUGAGAGAAAAAUCUAUAGAGAGAAUUCAAGAGCAGAGAUGAUUCUCUCAGAUUUGGUUGGCAGAAAAAUUUAGAGAGAGAACUAGCAUUGAGAAUUGAAGAGCAACGUGGGAAAAAAAGAAAAUUCGUGAAGAACUCUAGAAUCCAAUUUGGGAUCUUUGAUUUACCUAUUUUUUUACCUAGUUACAAUAUUUGGACAAAAUUGCCCACGAUCUAAUCGCUAGAAUAACUUUACUGGAGGAAAUUUGGCUAGACGACAAGUUGGGGCUCUCAUUUGAGAUAAAUUUGACAAAUUCAGACCCAUGUUUGAGA
rnacentral:lncRNA from 1 species